rnacentral:rRNA from 1 species
AUGGAAUCGGUGUCGGAGAGGACUGGCGCUAUGGAUUCACCGGAGCCAAGAAUCGAGACCAUUCCUAGGAAGGAUGAGAAAACUGUUAAACCUACCAUUUCACUUGAUUCAAGUGUUAUCAAUCUACCAAGUGAAGGACAAGUCCAGGCGGUCACAUCCAACAUAGGUGGGGAACAUAGGGCUGCAUAUCCACAACACAUUUAUUCCUCGCAAGCACAACCAUUCUAUUACCAAGGUACAGGAUAUGAGAACCUUCCAAACGAAUGCGAUGUAUAUCCUCCCUAUACGAGUGUUGAUGGAUUGGAAGUGGGUCCAGCGGUUAUAUACAACGAGGACCCUUCCAUGAUGUACCAUGGUGGCUAUGGCUAUGACCCUUAUGCUCAUUAUUCUCCUAUCUCGACACCAGUAUCAGCUGGUGUUAGUGGAAAUGGCUCUCCUACUCCAGUAUCACAGGGUGAGACAAUGAUGCCAAUUGACCCAACACAAAGUGCUUUUAUCGCUGACACUCUGAGUCCAAACAGCUUCCUUUUUGGACCAAGACCAGAAUGGUUUAGAUCGUCACAAGGAACUGGUUCGUUUCUAUCACCUGCAACUUCACCUCAACCUUUGGGUGAUGUUUCAGGGGCGUUUGGACAAAGCAACUUUCCUAUGGCUUCUGGGAUGAUGCCCCCUCAGCAGAAGUCCUUCUAUGGUUUUGGAACCCCUAGUGACUCUUAUGGAAGAAGGUUCUCUCAUCGUGGGAGUUUCCCACAUACCACUAAUUAUGGGAGUCCUUUCCCUGGCUAUGGCCUGAAUGGUAGAAGUUUGAUUCCAGUUGACAAAGAGCGCAGGAGAGGGAGGGGUAAUCCUUUGUUAUGCAGCUUUGUUGGUUCACUUGAUUUCCUCAAUGAGCAAAGCCGCGGUCCACGUUCCACCAGGCCUAAGAAGCAACCAGAGGAUAACAGUAAAGAUGAGAAGUCUUCUGCUGGACUUGACCAGGGGUCAUACAACAGGACUGAUUUUGUUACAGAGUACAAAAAUGCUAGAUUUUUUAUCAUAAAAUCAUACAGCGAAGAUAAUGUGCACAAGAGCAUCAAAUAUGGUGUUUGGGCUAGCACCACAAAUGGAAACAAGAAACUAGAUGGGGCUUAUCAUGAAGUGAAGAAGGAAGAACACUGUCCCAUUUUUCUGUUGUUUUCGGUGAACGCUAGCGCACAGUUCUGCGGUGUUGCGGAGAUGACUGGACCGGUGAAUUUUGAGAAGAGUGUGGACUACUGGCAGCAAGAUAAGUGGACUGGCCAGUUCCCUGUUAAUUGGCACAUACUGAAGGAUGUUCCAAAUAAUCUCUUCCGCCAUAUAAUUCUUGAAAACAAUGAGCACAAGCCGGUAACCAACAGCCGGGACACACAAGAGGUGAAACUGGAACAAGGACAGGAGAUGCUGAAAAUCUUCAAGGACCAUGAGGAGGAUGCGUCGAUCCUCGAUGACUUUGACUUUUACGAGGAACGUGAGAAAGCCCUGCUGGAGAAUAAGGCAAGGCUGUAUCAGCAACAGCAGAUAUCCAGCUCCAGUAUCGCUGAGCCCAAGAAGCCGUCGACUGUACCAACUGACCUGGUGGGUCAUAUCGCCAAGAAUUGUAGCUUUCUUGAGCCCAAGAAGCCCUUGACUGUACCCACUGACAUGGUGGGUCAUAUCACGAAGACUUUUGCACAGGCUGUUCGGCUUGGCAAGGCCAAGAGUGUGAGCCCUCUGGGCAAGAAAGGCCCUGCUGGGGAUUUAUCUGUUGCUGCGAAGCCUGUCGAGGUCAGAGAGAGCGGCUAG